GACGUAGGGGGCCAGCGUUGUUCGGAAUUACUGGGUGUAAAGGGUCAGUAGGCGGUGCGGCAAGUCGGGCGUGAAAUCUCUGGGCUUAACCCAGAGGCUGCUUCCGAAACUGCUGUGCUUGAGUGUGGGAGAGGCGCGUGGAAUUGCAGGUGUAGCGGUGAAAUGCGUAGAUAUCUGCAGGAACACCCGUGGCGAAAGCGGCGCGCUGGACCACAACUGACGCUGAAUGACGAAAGCUAGGGGAGCAAACAGG
rnacentral:rRNA from 1 species